GGGUUACUGAAUCAUCUGAUUUUGUGAAAGUAAAAUUGCUAAAUUGAUUGCUAAAUGAGUCUAAAUUUAAUUUCUAGGUAAAUGUAAAAAUUAUAAAAGUGUUUAACCAACUUUAAAUGAAUAGUCUCUUCAUUCGUAAAGGUAAUGAAAGGAAAUAUAACUCAUUUGGGUGACUAUUUCGAAAUAUUAAACAUUCGUCUUCUUAAAUUGAGAUUAUUUUAAACAUGAACCUGUGACAUUUUGGUACUGGCUAGAGGUGAUACUAUUAUAAGACUUGGGAUACUUGGACGUGGAUCAAACCUGUGAAAAGAUACAAAUUGCUUGAGAUGUCCGUUUCAAAAGAGACUAAAAAUAUCCAAGGAUUGUUAAUCAUUGAAAAAUAUUGCAAAAGUGCUCAUUUGUUACAAGAACAGAUGAAAAGUUUGUCUGGAAUGGUAAAUAAAUGAUGGUAAAACAGUUUAUAUCUAAUUUGGACAAAAUGCAUCUCAAUCUUUGGAUGGAAGCCAGGUGACAUAAUCUGGUUCAUCAGAACAGUAAUCAGCAACGGUUUAACAAUGAUUACAAGACAAAGCCUAAAAUUCAUGGAAAUAUAAUCUGAUAAAAAGUGGAAAAGGUAAAUGUCUUAACCAAGAAGGAUGGAACAAUUGGAAUAAAGCAUCACAGGAGGAAAAUGAUAGUUUCUCAUCAACAUGCACAUUGGUUUUUGAUCAGGCAUUUUGAUGUGUAAGGUGGGAAAAAAAGAUGUAAAUGAAGGGAAAUAUGGUGAAAAGGAGAAGCAAAAAUUCCUUUUGAAAAGAGUGAAUCAUUGAAAUACCUUAUUGGUGUGUAAAAUGAUUUUGUAAAAUUCAUUUUUUCGUCAUUCUGUGGCCAAUUUAAUAUCAUCACUAAACGUAUUUCAUAUUAAUAUAAAUUUUAAAUUAAAAUAUGUUUAUUUCAAUAUAUUUGGCCCAGUUUCAGUUUAACCAAAUCUGUUGAAAGUAUUUUGUUCCAUUUCACCAUCUUCUUCAUCAUCAUCACCCAUUCUGAGUGCAAUAUUUAUAGGUAAAGCAAAUUGUAAUAUAUUUCAUAUGUAAUUGUUCAACCUGUUUACACAUUUACUUUCAAUGAUUCUCAUUUUCAUCCAGGAAUCCUUUUUUUUCACUGCUUGUUACAACUGAAUAUGAAAAAUGUUUUCCCAGUUUUCAUCAAAUUUUCAUUUCAUCACGCAACACAAUUUCACACUUUUAACUCAUUUAAUACUCUUUAUUAACGGUUAUGAUGACGAUCAUGGGAAUGAUGCAGCUGUAACCUGUUGACUUAUUGUUUUACUGUGUAAAAAUAUCACCCAUUUGUUGACCUUAUUUGAAAAUGAAUGAAACAAAAACGGAAUGAGAAAAUAACAUUAAAAAUUACAUCUACUUGUAAUACAUAUUUCAUUUGCCAUUAAA